GAAUUUCCGUGAAGAGAAGCGAAAUAUUGCGAAAACAAAGAACAAAUUUCAAUACAGCUAAGCGAACGUUCGGAUCAGGUGAGCGAGUUAUAGCUGGUGUUGCGCAGAAUUAUGGCAAGAUGUCGUAAUUGGAAUCUGUGGAAGAAUUUAGCAAUAUAUGCGCUGCUAUCAACGUUAAAUCGUUGCGGUCCUAUGCAUUCCGCUGCGGCUAAACCACCCAGGUACUCCGAAGCUCGUUACAAGCGUUCGCCGACAUCUUCGGCGAGCUUACAAGGAUAUCCGGAAUUAAGCACGAGUCUGAGACACGCUGUAACUGAAGAGUUCCCUCUACCUCAUGACACUAAGCGCGCACAUGAUGAAAAACGUGCAUCGAAGGGACCCACUGCACUGCUUCCAAAAAAAUUUGACACAGGCGCUAAACAACAUCACACACGUGAAGCGAAAGUCCAUAAAUCACAAGGAUCAUCUAAACCACGUUCGAAAAAACGCCAUGAACGCUCUGGAUCUCCUCAAGCACACUUAAGCAGUCUAGCUACGUUUACAUCACGAGGAUCAUCUCAACCACGUCCGAACAAACCGCUCAGGUACUCUCUGUCACGCCACCCACGUACACAAGAAGCUUCUUUGUAUACCUAAGAACUUUACCUGUUAGUAUGUAUUAUAUUUCUUUCCCAUCUUAAUAAUCAUUCCUCUAGGCUUCGGCUGUAUAUGCAUACGCUUGGAAAAUGAGU